AAUCCGUGAUAAGCUUCUACACGAAAUGGAUCUUUAGAUAGAACCUCUUCGAAUCCUUUCGUCGCUGAAUCGAAAUCGCCGCCGUAGGUUUGUACCUGAGCUUUUAGGAUCCGCCAUUCUUGUUCUUCGGGUUGGAUUUCGAUCAAACGGUUUAGAAUCUCUAAGGCGUGGUCGAUGUUUUUGGUUUGGAAUUUGAUUUUCAUCAGUGAUUGAAGAGCUUCGACGUCGUUUGGAUUCUUAGUGAGGUGCUUCUCCAGCGCUGCUUCUUCUUCUUCUUCCUUUGGACGCGACGAGAUUUGAUCGGAA